AACGAACGCUGGCGGCAGGCUUAACACAUGCAAGUCGAGCGGAGAUGAGGUGCUUGCACCUUAUCUUAGCGGCGGACGGGUGAGUAAUGCUUAGGAAUCUGCCUAUUAGUGGGGGACAACAUUCCGAAAGGAAUGCUAAUACCGCAUACGUCCUACGGGAGAAAGCAGGGGACCUUCGGGCCUUGCGCUAAUAGAUGAGCCGAAGUCGGAUUAGCUAGUUGGUGGGGUAAAGGCCUACCAAGGCGACGAUCUGUAGCGGGUCUGAGAGGAUGAUCCGCCACACCGGGACUGAGACACGGCCCAGACUCCUACGGGAGGCAGCAGUGGGGAAUAUUGGACAAUGGGCGGAAGCCUGAUCCAGCCAUGCCGCGUGUGUGAAGAAGGCCUUUUGGUUGUAAAGCACUUUAAGCGAGGAGGAGGCUACUUAGAUUAAUACUCUAGGAUAGUGGACGUUACUCGCAGAAUAAGCACCGGCUAACUCUGUGCCAGCAGCCGCCGUAAGAC
rnacentral:rRNA from 1 species